rnacentral:rRNA from 1 species
AGAGUUUGAUCCUGGCUCAGGAUAAACGCUGGCGGCGCACAUAAGACAUGCAAGUCGAACGGACUUAACCAUUAGUUUACUAUUGGAGCGGUUAGUGGCGGACUGGUGAGUAACACGUAAGCAACCUGCCUAUCAGAGGGGAACAACAGUUAGAAAUGACUGCUAAUACCGCAUAUGCCUUAAUUACCACAUGGUAGUAGAGGGAAAGGAGCAAUCCGCUGAUAGAUGGGCUUGCGUCUGAUUAGAUAGUUGGUAAGGUAACGGCUUACCAAGUCGACGAUCAGUAGCCGGACUGAGAGGUUGAACGGCCACAUUGGGACUGAGAUACGGCCCAGACUCCUACGGGAGGCAGCAGUCGGGAAUAUUGCGCAAUGGAGGAAACUCUGACGCAGUGACGCCGCGUGCAGGAAGAAGGUUUUCGGAUUGUAAACUGCUCUAGACAGGGAAGAAACAAGACAGUACCUGUAGAAUAAGCUCCGGCUAACUACGUGCCAGCAGCCGCGGUAAUACGUAGGGAGCAAGCGUUAUCCGGAUUUAUUGGGUGUAAAGGGUGCGUAGACGGGAAUGCAAGUUGGUUGUGAAAUCCCUCGGCUCAACCGAGGAAUUGCAACCAAAACUAUAUUUCUUGAGUGCUGGAGAGGAAAGUGGAGUUCCUAGUGUAGCGGUGAAAUGCGUAGAUAUUAGGAGGAACACCAGUGGCGAAGGCGACUUUCUGGACAGUAACUGACGUUGAGGCACGAAAGUGUGGGGAGCAAACAGGAUUAGAUACCCUGGUAGUCCACACCGUAAACGAUGGAUACUAGGUGUAGGGGAUGAAUAAUCUUCUGUGCCGUCGCAAACGCAGUAAGUAUCCCACCUGGGGAGUACGGCCGCAAGGUUGAAACUCAAAGGAAUUGACGGGGGCCCGCACAAGCAGUGGAGUAUGUGGUUUAAUUCGACGCAACGCGAAGAACCUUACCAGGGCUUGACAUAUACAUGAAAAUCUAAGAGAUUAGAUCCCUCUUCGGAGCAUGUAUACAGGUGGUGCAUGGUUGUCGUCAGCUCGUGUCGUGAGAUGUUGGGUUAAGUCCCGCAACGAGCGCAACCCCUGUUCUUAGUUGCCAGCAUGUAAAGAUGGGAACUCUAAGAAGACUGCCGGUGAUAAAUCGGAGGAAGGUGGGGACGACGUCAAAUCAUCAUGCCCUUUAUGUCCUGGGCUACACACGUACUACAAUGGCUGUAACAAAGGGAAGCGAACCCGCGAGGAGGAGCAAAACCCAUAAAAGCAGUCUCAGUUCGGAUUGAAGGCUGAAAUUCGCCUUCAUGAAGCCGGAAUUGCUAGUAAUGGCAGGUCAGCGUACUGCCGUGAAUACGUUCCCGGGCCUUGUACACACCGCCCGUCACACCAUGAGAGUUGGGGAUACCCGAAGCCUGUGAGCUAACUGUAAAGAGGCAGCAGUCGAAGGUAGAAUCAAUGAUUGGGGUGAAGUCGUAACAAGGUAGC